ACUAUUGUGCCAGAGCUCUCCAGCACGAACCUGAUCUGCUACGCGUGAGCGAGCUGCCGCGGGAAAGCUGUCUUUUCGUGCUUCUCACACGACGAAGAUGAGCAGGACAACGAGCUACCCAGAAUGUCUCCGAGGUACCCGGAACGGCGCCCCUCUGACGUCGGCUCCAGACCUUCGCACCUGUGUGUUUGCGUGUGUGUGGGCGUAAACUGUGCUGCGGAACGGCGCCCCUCUGUCGCCGGCGCCGGGCAUCAGAAUGUGUGUGCCGAUGUGUACGUAAACUGUUCUGCGGGGCGGCGGCAAGUUGACAAUGAGUAAACGAACGUUCGCGCCGCCUUGUAUCGCCGGCGGACCGAGUGUAUAAAAACUGCUGUUGUGCGGAUGCUCGAUACACUUCUCUCGUGCAGUCAGGUUGGACUGACACACUUUCUCUUGAGCAGUCAUGUUGGACUGACACUCUUUUUCUUAAGCAGUCAUGUUAGACUGAUUUAAAUACUGUAAAUAAACCCAUUUUCCUCGUU